rnacentral:rRNA from 1 species
UACGGAGGAUGCGAGCGUUAUCCGGAUUUAUUGGGUUUAAAGGGUGCGUAGGCGGGUUAUAAAGUCAGCGGUAAAAUCGUGGAGCUCAACUCCAUCCAGCCGUUGAAACUGAUGAUCUUGAGUGGGCGAGAAGUAUGCGGAAUGCGUGGUGUAGCGGUGAAAUGCAUAGAUAUCACGCAGAACUCCGAUUGCGAAGGCAGCAUACCGGCGCCCGACUGACGCUGAAGCACGAAAGCGUGGGUAUCGAACAGG